GACAUAGGUGGCGAACGUUAUCCGGAAUUACUGGGCGUAAAGAGUGCGUAGGUGGUUUAAUAAGUUAUUGGUGGAAAAUCGGGGCUCAACCCCGUGGAAGUCAGUAAUACUAUUAGACUAGAGGACUGGAGGAGUUAACGGAAUGCUAUGUGUAGCGGUAAAAUGCUCAAAUAUAUGGUAGAACACCAAAUUGGCGAAAGGCAGUUAACUAUUCAGUUCCUGACGUUGAG
rnacentral:rRNA from 1 species